UACGAAGGGGGCUAGCGUUGUUCGGAAUCACUGGGCGUAAAGCGCACGCAGGCGGAUUGAUAAGUCAGGUGUGAAAGCCCCGGGCUCAACCUGGGAAUGGCAUUUGAGACUGCAUAGCUAGGGUGCGGAAGAGGGAAGCGGAAUUUCCGGUGUAGCGGUGAAAUGCGUAGAUAUCGGAAGGAACAUCAGUGGCGAAAGCGGCUUCCUGGUCCAGCACCGACGUUCAGGCACGAAAGCGUGGGGAGCAAACAGG
rnacentral:rRNA from 1 species